rnacentral:rRNA from 1 species
GACGAACGCUGGCGGCGUGCCUAAUACAUGCAAGUCGAGCGAAUCAGCAGGAGCUUGCUCCUGUUGGUUAGCGGCGGACGGGUGAGUAACACGUGGGCAACCUGCCUGUAAGACCGGGAUAACACCGGGAAACCGGUGCUAAUACCGGAUAAUCCUUUUCCUCUCAUGAGGAAAAGCUGAAAGUCGGUUUCGGCUGACACUUACAGAUGGGCCCGCGGCGCAUUAGCUAGUGGGUGAGGUAACGGCUCACCAAGGCGACGAUGCGUAGCCGACCUGGGAGGGUGAUCGGCCACACUGGGACUGAGACACGGCCCAGACUCCUACGGGAGGCAGCAGUAGGGAAUCUUCCACAAUGGACGAAAGUCUGAUGGAGCAACGCCGCGUGAGCGAUGAAGGCCUUCGGGUCGUAAAGCUCUGUUGUUAGGGAAGAACAAGUACCGGAGUAACUGCCGGUACCUUGACGGUACCUAACCAGAAAGCCACGGCUAACUACGUGCCAGCCGCCGCCGUAACAC